UGGGGGAAUCAACUAAUGAUGCUCCUCUCAUGUGAUGCAACCCUUGGCGCUUAGCUUCUUUCGCCAAGCAUAUUACACGCGGUAAAGCCGCUAAAGGAGAAAACAUG
rnacentral:ncRNA from 17 species